GAUGAAGAACGUAGCGAAAUGCGAUAAGUAAUGUGAAUUGCAGAAUUCAGUGAAUCAUCGAAUCUUUGAACGCACAUUGCGCCCGCCAGUAUUCUGGCGGGCAUGCCUGUCUGAGCGUCAUUUCAACCCUCAUGCCCCUAGGGCGUGGUGUUGGGGAUCGGCCAAAGCCCGCGAGGGACGGCCGGCCCCUAAAUCUAGUGGCGGACCCGUCGUGGCCUCCUCUGCGAAGUAGUGAUAUUCCGCAUCGGAGAGCGAUGAGCCCCUGCCGUUAAACCCCCAACUUUCCAAGGUUGACCUCAGAUCAGGUAGGAAUACCCGCUGAACUUAAGAAUAUCAAUAAGCGGAGGA
rnacentral:misc_RNA from 1 species